rnacentral:rRNA from 1 species
CAAUAGCGUAUAUUAAAGUUGUUGCAGUUAAAAAGCUCGUAGUUGGAUUUGUGGUGAUUUGGUUAGUCCAAAUUGUUUUGGUACUUUGCUGAACUGCCAUCUUUGGUCGGAACCGGUGUGGCAUUAGGUUGUCGUGCCGGGGAGGUCCAUCGUUUACUGUGAAAAAAUUAGAGUGUUCAAAGCAGGCUUAUGCCGUUGAAUAGAUUAGCAUGGAAUAAUGAGAUAGGACCUUGGUACUAUUUUGUUGGUUUGUGCACCGAGGUAAUGAUUAAUAGGGACAGUUGGGGGUAUUCGUAUUCCAUUGUCAGAGGUGAAAUUCUUGGAUUUUUGGAAGACGAACUACUGCGAAAGCAUUUACCAAGGAUAUUUNCAUUAA